AGUGGAAUUGCUGGGCCACAAUGGUAGUUCAGUGUUCAACUUUGUGAGAAAUUGCCAAACCGUUUUCCAAAGUGGCUGCACCAUUCUACAUUCCCAUCAGCAAU
rnacentral:pre_miRNA from 1 species